rnacentral:lncRNA from 1 species
UGGAAACCUCAUGGUAUGUUUGCGUGGUCAUUAGGUUUUUCAUUCUCUAUCGGCUCGGUUCAUUGACAUUUUUGUGUUCACAUGUGAAAGGAACGAACACGAGGAUAGCGCCACAAAGAAUUUUAUGUUUCCUAUUGAAUUCCACCGGUCCAUUUUCUUGGAUAAGAGCAGCUCAGCAGCCAUUGCUGAUCCUGAUCCACUGUUGACGUGGCCAUUCAUUUAAAAAAGGGAAGAAAAUUUGUACAAGAAGAAUGAAAUUCAACUCUCUUUCCAUUUGACUUUCGUUGUUGAAGAGGCGGCGCUCAGGGGAUGGAAUCGCUGUGGAGGCUGACAGCGGUUGUGGAGAUUUUUGCGGCGGUGGUUUUGGAAUUGGCAAACGAAGUGGAGCCAUGUUUUUCUUAGGGUUCAAAAUGAAAAAGUAAAAAGAUUUCUUUUUGUGAGUACAGAAUUUUAUGAAUUAUUGUCCAAGGAGGGCCUUACUUUUGUUUUGCGGUCCGACCGAGAUCGUGAUGUCCGUUUGCGCAGAUUCUCGUUUACUUCUUGCAAAAAUUAUGAAAUUGAUAUGCAUAAAUGUGAAUAUAAAUAUCCAUACGUGAAAGUUUUCAACACUUCCAAAUACUUUCUUUUUUACAUAAAUGAUCUUUAAACAUUAGCUUAAUAUGCAAUCUUAUCAUUGAACUUUUAGUUUGCCCAAUGUGAUCUCUGAAUUAUAGCUCGAUGUGUAAUAUUAUCAUAAAUAAUCUUUGAACAUUAGC